GCUGGGUGUGGUGGUGCAUGCCUGUAAUCCCAGCUACUUGGGAGGCUGAGGCAGGAGAAUCACUUGAACCCUGGAGGCGGAGGUUGCAGUGAGCUGAGAUCAUGCCACUGCACUCCAGCCUGGGUGACAGAGUGAGACUCCGUCUCAA
ensembl:misc_RNA Metazoa_SRP Metazoan signal recognition particle RNA